UGUUUUGUUUUUUGUAGGGCUCAUGGUAGGGGUAGUAGUAGGGCGAUUUCUAGAUCAAAGAGAAGAAAUGUGAUGGCUACUAGGAAGCACUUUAUGGAAAAGGGGAGGCAGGCAGAGCCUAUUAGGUCAAAGCCACAUUCAUAGGGGCUUGAUUUUUCUGUGUAGAUAUUAAGUUGUUGGAGUCAAAACGCAAUUGUUACUAGUAAGAGUGUUAGUAAGGUGCCAGUUGCUAAGGCUAAUGUUAGAUUAAUAACUUUUUCGGGUAAUGCUGAAACUAAUUGAUUGGAAGUCAAUUGUACUAUUUUAUACUAAAAGAGUAUGAUCCUUGUUAAUAGAUAGAAACAUAUAGGAAUAGUCAUACUACGUCUACAAAGUGCCAGUAUCAGGCUGAGGCUUCAAAUCCACAGUGGCAGUUAGAUGUACAGUGAAAUUUUAGUUGGCGGAGUAGGCAGACAGUAAGAAAUGUUGAUCCAGUAAUAAUGUGAAGCCUGUGAAAACCUGUGGCUAUGAAGAAUGUUGAGCUGUAAACUCCAUCGGAGAUAGUGAAAGGGACUUCAAAAUAUUCUGAGGCUUAUAGAUGUGUAAAGUAAACGCCUAGGGCAAUUGUGAGACAGUGCCUGAAGUAUGUAUUUUCGAUUACCUUCUAUUAAGCUUUGGUGAGCCCAAGUAAUUGAAACCCCGGAUGCAAGUAAAACAGAUGUAUUA